ensembl:lncRNA
CUCUAGGUGGUGCCGUAAUGCCAGUGUGCUUUUCUUUGCAGAGUGGCUCUCCAGUCAGGGAAGAUGGUCUUCUGCGGGAAGCACUGAUUGCUACAGCAGUGAAGUUCCUGCAAAACCCGAAAGUUCGUCAAAGUCCUUUGGCUACCAGAAGAGCUUUCCUGAAGAAAAAAGGUCUGACUGACGAGGAGGUGGAGAUGGCCAUCCAGCGUUCCGGCAGCGCGCAGGAAACCUGUUUCAGUGGUGUGUGUGUGUGUGUGUGUGUGUGUGUGUGUGUGUGUGUGUGUGUGUCUACAGGUCCCCCUGGUUACAGAUGGAGAGACUAUGGUGCCCUGGCCAUCAUCAUAGCUGGAAUGGCCUUUGGCGUUCAUCACCUAUACCGGAAAUACAUCCUUCCCCUCAUUAUGGGCAGCAGAGAGGACAAGGAGCAUCUGCGCAGGAUCUCUAGCAGCAUGGCAGAGAUGAGUGGCACGCUGGCCCAGACAGUGACCCAGCUGCAGACGACGCUCGCCUCGGUACAGGAACUCCUGGUUCAGCAGCAGAAGAAGAUCCAGGAGCUGUCUCAGGAGCUGGCCAGCUCUCAGGCCUGCUCCACGACCAACCGCAUGGUGGAAUCUCAAAGCAUCAGUGAGCUCAAGGCUGAGAUUGCUUCUCUGAAAGGACUGUUACUCAGCAGGAGACAGUUUCCUGCUUCUCCGUCCCUCCCCAAAAUCCCCUCCUGGCAGAUCUCGCUCAAACCAGGCACGACCUCCAACUCGCCCUCCGCCAAUCACACCAACAGCAGCAGCGACAUCUCGCCCGUCAGCAACGAAUCGGCCAGCUCCUCGCCCAUCAAGGAGGGCCACAGCUCUCAGGCCACGCCCCCCGGCCCGCACGGCCUGAACGGAGAGGUUGCCCUCGGGGCCAUGCUGCCCCUCGACCUGAAGAGCCAGGUCCGCAUGGAGGUGCAGGGCGAGGAGGAACGCAGAGAGGAGGAGGACGGGGAAGAAGAAGAAGAAGAGGAGGAGGAGGAGGAGGAGGAGGACGACGACGACGUGUCUCGCGCAGAUGAGGAGGAGCGUCUGGGCGUCCAAUCGGAGGACAGGAGAGGAGGCGAUGGACAGUUCAACGAGCAGGUGGAGAAGCUCCGCCGUCCUGAAGGGGCGAGUAACGAGAGCGAGGUGGAUUAGGCCGAGGACCCUCGCCACAGCCCUGGCCAGCCUCGGCCUCCUGUCACAACCCCACACCCUCAACCCCCUUCCCGCACAAACACAGCGCGGUGGGAACGGGCGGCAGGUGAGAUGAAGGCAGCCUGAUCCGCUCUUUUGUGUCCUAUUUGAGUUAGCAGCAAGCAUGGUAACGUGCGACGUGGAACUAGACGAUGACGGAAUACUUUUUUUCUUCUUUCUUUGCCCAGUCAUUUCCUAUAAAUACUUCACAUGGAAUUAGUGUCUGUAGUUCGCCACAGCGUAGAGAAAUCAAUAUACUGUAAGCGUACUGUAUGUUGUACCAGUUGAGGUAGUUUUAUUUGCACAAAAAGGCAAGAAAUCGCGAACGCCAAAGAAUCCCGCCGGUCCACAUCUUGUGCUCAGAUGUGUCCCACUCAUCCCGGGUCUAGCGCGCCUGUGCACGCCCACGUCCGCUGCGGUCAUGGUGGUCGGGCUCUGGCCGGGACCUCCAUCAGACGUGACCCUCGCCACCAUCGGGCAGCGGUGAGCUCCAGCAGCCGGUGUGUCUGCGCGCAAGCGGGCCCGCACCGGCUCCCGUUAGAGUGAUGAUGGGUUUGCUUCCUGCUGGCGCUGUGAGUUGAAGAGCGCUGAGGAGGCAGAUAAACACUGUUUUUAAUGCUCCCUGAAUAAGGCAGGGAGGGAGGGAUAGAGAGAGAAACAGCUAAAAGAAAAGUGUCCCCUUCAGUCAAAUCUCCAGCAGGGCAGCUGAUUUGGGUUAUGAAGUAUGUUAAUAAUCAAAUUAUCAACAAAUAACAGAUGUAUUAGUUCAUGCAGCUUGAAAUGUCAAGGAGGCUAAAAUCAGAAAUCUAAUACUGAAAGCCUGUUCUAUUGUGUUAUAUUACACGACAAAGCCCCCAGUCCAAAUGAUGCCGGCCUCCUGCGGAGCGUAAUCUUAACGUGAAGCAGUGCUGGGGGUUUGUAAUUAAACCAUGUAAAACAAUGGAUGUUUCUUCAGAGGUGCUGACGGUUGUGCUUCUUCCUUUACGGGUCUUUUUUUUUUCUUUUCAAGUUUUGGGCCUGGGCUGAAGAAGACAAAACAAAACACAAAACAAACAACAAAAAAAACCCCACCACUGAUGCAAAUGGAGAGUAAACGUAUGAAUACUUAACUAACAGAAUUACUCAUCCGCCUACUGACGAGAAGGGGGGGGAAAGGCGUGAAGGAUCCCGAAGAGAGUAGUAGACAGCCGGCACCACUCUGACAGUUUCACUUUUGACAAAUAAGCUUUUGAUUGACGUGAUUACAGCCAGGGCAGGUUGAGCUGGGCGGGGCUAUGGCAGUGGUCGCAGGGCCAAGAAAAAUUAUUUGUGUGAUGUAUGGUAGUGAAUAAGCACACACAUUCAUGUGAUAUACGGUAAUUCAGGCCUGUGAUUUAUUUUUUUCCAAAGUUAGUAAUGGUCUCAAGUGCUGGGGGGGAAUUAACUUGACGGUGUCUUGACUGGAAUAAUACAUAUCUGAUUGUGAAGGCCUAGGCAUUUUGGCACAUACCAUCAGCUGGUGGGUGUGUGGGUGGGUGGGUGUGUGUGUGUGGGUGGGUGGGUGGGUGUGCUUGGGUUUUCAUGUUGGUCUGAUAUAAGCCUUUAUAGAUCUGGCAUGGCCUGUAUGAAUAGAACUCAAUGAAAAUCUGAUAUCAGAGAGAAUGUAAAUAUUUGUAAUAAAUUUG